GCUUGCUUCUUUGCUGACGAGUGGCGGACGGGUGAGUAAUGUCUGGGAAACUGCCUGAUGGAGGGGGAUAACUACUGGAAACGGUAGCUAAUACCGCAUAACGUCGCAAGACCAAAAAGGGGGACCUUCGGGCCUCUUGCCAUCGGAUGUGCCCAGAUGGGAUUAGCUAGUAGGUGGGGUAACGGCUCACCUAGGCGACGAUCCCUAGCUGGUCUGAGAGGAUGACCAGCCACACUGGAACUGAGACACGGUCCAGACUCCUACGGGAGGCAGCAGUGGGGAAUAUUGCACAAUGGGCGCAAGCCUGAUGCAGCCAUGCCGCGUGUAUGAAGAAGGCCUUCGGGUUGUAAAGUACUUUCAGCGGGGAGGAAGGGAGUAAAGUUAAUACCUUUGCUCAUUGACGUUACCCGCAGAAGAAGCACCGGCUAACUCCGUGCCAGCAGCCGCGGUAAUACGGAGGGUGCAAGCGUUAAUCGGAAUUACUGGGCGUAAAGCGCACGCAGGCGGUUUGUUAAGUCAGAUGUGAAAUCCCCGGGCUCAACCUGGGAACUGCAUCUGAUACUGGCAAGCUUGAGUCUCGUAGAGGGGGGUAGAAUUCCAGGUGUAGCGGUGAAAUGCGUAGAGAUCUGGAGGAAUGCCGGUGGCGAAG
rnacentral:rRNA from 1 species